GACGUAGGGGCGAGCGUUGUCCGGAAUUACUGGGCGUAAAGAGCACGUAGGCGGGAACUUAAGUCAGGUGUGAAAGACCGUGGCUCAACCACGGGUAUGCAUUUGAAACUGGGUUUCUUGAGGGCAGGAGAGGAAAGCAGAAUUCCUGGUGUAGCGGUGAAAUGCGUAGAAAUCAGGAGGAAUACCAGUGGCGAAGGCGGCUUUCUGGACUGACCCUGACGCUGAGGUGCGAAAGCGUGGGUAGCAAACAGGAUUAGAUACCCGUGUAGUCCCUGA
rnacentral:rRNA from 1 species